rnacentral:lncRNA from 1 species
GAAGAACCCAUUUACAAAAAUAGACAUAACAAAAAUACAAAGACAUAAAUGUAGCAAGAAAAGAUCAAAAUUCAUAUGGGGAAAAACUAUACAUACUUUUAAAGGACAUGAAAAUAGAUUUGAAGACAUGGAAAGGCAUCAUAUUCUUGAAUAGAUAAGCUAACAUUAUCCUAACUUUUAAAAUCCCAACACAAUAAUAGCCAUGAUUUUUUUUCUAGAUCAAGACAAUUUGCCUAUAAAGAUUGUUUGGAGGAGCAAGGAUGUGGGGUUCUAAGAGACAUUCAAUAUGCAAUAAAGCCUGGCACACAGCUAGCAUACACUUCCCAGCUUCCUUUGAUGUCUGUUGUAGCCACAUGACUGAGCUUAGCCAAUGGAGUACGGGUGUAAGUGAUGUGAACCACACCAGCCUGGCCCCUAAAAACCUUACUCAGGAAACAAUAGUGCUGCAAUUUGCCGCUGAGAACCUUUCAAAGACGACGCUGACUCCUGCACCUUUGGGCAGCCAAGGGCCAGCGCAGGUGUGGGCAGCCCCCAGAGGAUGCAAGAAGAGCAAACUGUGGAAGCUGGAAGGACCUUUGCAGGCACCUGGGAGCUGCCGUUAUUGCCACCUUCGACGUGCCAUAAAGGGGCCCUGAAGUGCUUGUGUGUGCGGCACACCCGAAUAAUUGCAAACAACAUGAUAUGAUGCUAGUAACACCAAAUUCUCAGGUUUCUGGAAUUAUCCCCAACAUUGAGCAAAAGCAAGAGUGCAGAUUAUAUUGUGAGAAGGCUUUAAUUUCUGACUCUUUAAAUAAAUAUUGAGAGUAUUGCAUAAGGCUUCCAUACCACACUGUUCAUUUAAAACAAAGUG